rnacentral:misc_RNA from 1 species
GGUAUUGUUUUUGUAUAAAUUUCAACCAUCAACCAACCCACUCGUUCAACUUUAUAUUUUCUAUACUAUAGUAUGUAAAUUGAAAAAUGUUUGUUACGAGAAAAAGGUAUCUGCUACGCCAGUACAUGCCUGCGUUAUAAAAUAAUGCAGUGUACGUUUUUUAUUUAAUAUGCUCGCUGACCUCUUUGCAGGAAAACGCUUUUCAAUAUUUUUCUCAUAACUAUUUAAACAAGAGCUUGGACUUUUAAUAGUUGUGUCAAACAGCAAUGUGACGUAGGCCUGUCUAAUUCAUUGCUAGCCACUCAUCCAUGGGCCUUGGCUCUUUGAAAUCAACAAGAUAGAUCUGGCUUUUGAGCUAAGACUACGCAAUCGGUGCAUAUUUCGCUUGAAACCAGCGCCAUUUUUAUCUUUUAAAGAAAUAGCUUGUUAUGUCCUACCGAAAGUCCAAGGUCUUAAUGAUAGAAGAAAAAUAGCGAACUGUAUAUGGAUAAAUCGACAAUUUUAUAAGCUUUCAAGAAAAGCAAAGGUUUAUCACAAACCUAUCAAAUGAAGACCCAAAUACUCAUGCAUUUUCAACCCUGAGUACUGUUAAUUUAGCUUCCUAAUUUUCAGCGCAGACCAAACUUCAAGAUAGUUUGUGUUUUACGAUGUAUUCAUGAUGUUCUAAAAACAUAUUUAUACAAUGUUUCGAUAUUUCUAUCAGUACAUCUUGGCAUAUUUAGCUUAUAUUUCAUAGAAGGCAUAAUGUAUUUCAUGCUACAUCUCAAAUUUUUGAGAUGUAACCCCUACUUGUUUUACUUUUAAAUGAGACAUUAAAUGUAUGUUUAUCUGUAUGCAAAGUUUUGGAAAGAUGAUAUUACUAUAAUUUUUUUAAUUUACGUUAUAAUUUGAGUACUGCAAAAUUUUGUAACAUCUGUUGUUGUGUUCAUUAUGUACUGGCCUUUGAAGCCACCAGUAAAGCAA